rnacentral:rRNA from 1 species
AAUGAACGUUGGCGGCAUGGAUUAGGCAUGCAAGUCGAGCGAGAAGAGUUUUGAAGCUUGCUUUAGAACUCGGACAGCGGCGAAAGGGAGAGUAACGCGUAGUUAUGUGCCCUAGGGUCCGGAAUAGCCACGGGAAACUGUGGGUAAUGCCGGAUAACAUCCCCGGAUCAAAGGUGUGAUUCCGCCCUAGGAGCAGACUGCGUCCUACUAGCUAGUUGGUGGGUAAUGGCCCACCAAGGCAAUGAUGGGUAGCGGGUGUGAGAGCUUGACCCGGCUCACUGGGACUGAGACACUGCCCAGACACCUACGGGUGGCUGCAGUCGAGAAUCUUCGGCAAUGGGCGAAAGCCUGACCGAGCGAUGCCGCGUGCGGGAUGAAGGCCCUCGGGUUGUAAACCGCUGUCGUAGGGGAGGAAGGUUCCGUGAAGAGCGGAAUUUGACCUAUCCUAGGAGGAAGUACGGGCUAAGUUCGUGCCAGCAGCCGCCGCCGUAG